rnacentral:rRNA from 1 species
ACGAGCGCAACCCCUAUNCUUAGUUACCAGCACGUAAUGGUGGGGACUCUAGGAAAACUGCCUNCGCUAANCGAGAGGAAGGUGGGGAUGACGUCAAAUCAGCACGGCCCUUACGUCCAGGGCUACACACGUGCUACAAUGGCCGGUACAGAGGGCAGCUACCUGGUGACUGGAUGCUAAUCCCUCAAAGCCGGUCUCAGUUCGGAUCGAAUUCUGCAACUCGACUUCGUGAAGCUGGAAUCGCUAGUAAUCCCGCAUCAACAUGGCGGGGUGAAUACGUUCCCGGGCCUUGGA